GGCGGAAGCGCUGCUGCCUGGCUGCAGGGUCCUUGCCCGUCCGCCGGCGUGGGCACCCAGCUACACGACGAUCGGCAAUGAUCCAGGCUCUCACGGUGGCCCACGUCGGCUCUCGACACCUA
rnacentral:sRNA from 1 species